rnacentral:rRNA from 1 species
GAUGAACGCUGGCGGCGUGCCUAAUACAUGCAAGUCGAGCGAACAGACGAGGAGCUUGCUCCUCUGACGUUAGCGGCGGACGGGUGAGUAACACGUGGAUAACCUACCUAUAAGACUGGGAUAACUUCGGGAAACCGGAGCUAAUACCGGAUAAUAUAUUGAACCGCAUGGUUCAAUAGUGAAAGACGGUUUUGCUGUCACUUAUAGAUGGAUCCGCGCCGCAUUAGCUAGUUGGUAAGGUAACGGCUUACCAAGGCGACGAUGCGUAGCCGACCUGAGAGGGUGAUCGGCAACACUGGAACUGAGACACGGUCCAGACUCCUACGGGAGGCAGCAGUAGGGAAUCUUCCGCAAUGGGCGAAAGCCGGACGGAGCAACGCCGCGUGAGUGAUGAAGGUCUUCGGAUCGUAAAACUCUGUUAUUAGGGAAGAACAAAUGUGUAAGUAACUAUGCACGUCUUGACGGUACCUAAUCAGAAAGCCACGGCUAACUACGUG